GCUCGGCUAGCUCAGUCGGUAGAGCAUUUGACUUUUUUUAAAUCUCAGAGUCAUGAGUUCAAGCCCCAUGUCGAGCU
rnacentral:tRNA from 1 species